rnacentral:rRNA from 1 species
GAUGAACGCUGGCGGCGUGCCUAAUACAUGCAAGUCGAGCGAACAGACGAGGAGCUUGCUCCUCUGACGUUAGCGGCGGACGGGUGAGUAACACGUGGAUAACCUACCUAUAAGACUGGGAUAACUUCGGGAAACCGGAGCUAAUACCGGAUAAUAUAUUGAACCGCAUGGUUCAAUAGUGAAAGACGGUUUUGCUGUCACUUAUAGAUGGAUCCGCGCCGCAUUAGCUAGUUGGUAAGGUAACGGCUUACCAAGGCAACGAUGCGUAGCCGACCUGAGAGGGUGACGGGCCACACUGGAACUGAGACCCGGCCCAGCCCCCUACGGGAGGCAGCAGUAGGAAAUCUUCCGCAAUGGGCGAAAGCCUGACGGACAAACCCCGCGGGAGUGAUGAAGGUCUUCGGAUCGUAAAACCCUUUUAUUAGGGAAGAAAAAAUUUGAAAGUAACUAUGCACGUUUUGACGGUACCUAAUCAAAAAGCCCCGGCUAACUCCGU